UACGUAGGGGGCAAGCGUUGUCCGGAUUUAUUGGGCGUAAAGAGCGUGUAGGCGGCCAGACAGGUCCGUUGUGAAAACUCGAGGCUCAACCUCGAGACGCCGAUGGAAACCGUCUGGCUAGAGUCCGGAAGAGGAGAGUGGAAUUCCUGGUGUAGCGGUGAAAUGCGCAGAUAUCAGGAAGAACACCCGUGGCUAAGGCGGCUCUCUAGUACGGUACUGACGCUGAGACGCGAAAGCUAGGGGAGCAAACGGG
rnacentral:rRNA from 1 species